rnacentral:snRNA from 1 species
GGCGGGGUACAACCCCUG